rnacentral:lncRNA from 1 species
CUGUUGUGUAGCUAUGUUGCAGCCACACCGAGCGAAACCUAUGGGGAGCUCCUCGGCGGGGCGGCUUUGAUGAUUUCUUCAGACACAUGGAGCAGACUGACGAAUGGACUCUCAAGUGAAAGGUUGAUUCAUUGUCUUUUGGUUACCCGCCUCCUCCCCCUGCUGCGGUCAGACAUUUCAGACUUGUCAAAGAAGCAAUGGGCCUACCAAGUUGAGCAAGACAACUUCAAUUAUGAAAAUUAUGAUUGGAGAAGUUUUAGCCACCUAUCUCUUCUUCUCCCAUAAGGCACCUGGGGAGACCUGACGACUAGCUGGCCUAGGCUGUUUCUUAAUGGCUUCCUGAGGCUGCAAUGAUGCCUGCUUCCCAUACUGCAAGUGCAUUAAAGGUAGGGAUGGGGCCACUCAUGAAGUUAUGGGCUGAGUUGGGUACCGUCCAUAUUCAAUUGUUGAAAUCCCAACCCCUAGCUCUCCUCAGAAUGUAAUGAUAUCAGAGGUUAAAUUUGAAUGAGGCCGUUAAGGUGGGGCCCUCAUCCAAUGAGCAGCAUUCUUAUGAGAAGGAGAAACUAGGACACAGGUGGAGAGAUACUAGAGGUGCCUGUGAACAGAGGAUCGACCAUGUGAAGGGGGAUCCAGAGGGUAGCCAUGUUCAAGUCAACCAGAGAGGUCUCAGAGGAGACCAACUCUGUAGGCACCUUGACCUUGGACUAUCAGCUUCUUAACUGUGAGAAAAUAAAUAUCUGUUGUUUAAGCCA